UUCCUGGUGGCUCAGAGGUUAAAGCGUCUGCCUCCAAUGCAGGAGACCCGGGUUUGAUCCCUGGUUCGGGAA
rnacentral:tRNA from 1 species